AGGAUUUUGUGACCUCUUCUGGGCAUUUCUGAAGAUUGGGAACUUGUCUUCCAAGAUGGUUUUGAAGUCAGUUUCCCUAAAAACUGGAAAUUGAAUUCCCUGUCAAAGUUAUUUACCAGAUAUGUCAGCAUUGCACCAUCAAUGUAGUGAAUAAAAACGAUCAGGUUCCGCUGUUCUCAUUCUGAAAUACUUCUGUGAUAUCCCACUCCAUGGUAAAUGAGAGCUGCUGAAGAAACAUCAUCAUCAUCAUCAUCAAAAAUAACACUAGAAUGCUUACCUGUAUCACUUGCUAUUUUAAGUGCUAACAUAUACCAACUUGAUAAUCCUCACAUUCUCUAUGAAGUAAGUACUCUCAUUAAUCCAUAGUUUAAAAAAUGAAUCAAUAGAGAUAAGAAUUUAAGUAAUGUGACCAAAAUUAUAUGGCCAUUUGGUAGGCCCACCAGAUUACAAUCCAGGCAGCCUGGCUCCAUUGCAUUCUCUUAACUACCCUGCCACUUCCUACUAAGGAAAAAAAAAAAUCAUACACCCAGAUUCACUGCGGAUAACUGUAAUUUUUAUAAUCCUUAAUUUUAACUGGGUUUCUGACAUGACACGUAAUCCAUCUCAUUUUUUUUAAUUGGAAUUUGAUAUGGAAGAGCCAAACAUUGAGAAUUUGC